AAUGGCCUAACGGCUGAACCAGCAACUUGGAAGAAUGUAUAGCGAAAGCUAGUUUAAAAUAUCGAUUUAUCGAAUAAAGUUCUAAGUAUAGUUAUGAUAAUGACAUUUUAUUUAUAAGUCUUGACCAAUUUGCGUGCCAGCAGUCGCGGUAAUACGCAUAAGACGAGUGUUAUUCAUCUUUAAUAGGUUUAAAGGGUACCUAGACAGUAAAAAAAGCCAACUUUUUUAUAGAGUUAUAUAUGAGGGAGCUAUUAGGUACUAAUGUAGUGAGAUGAAAUAUGUAGACACCUAAUGGCACAGAUUAAGGCGCAAGCAUCUCCUUAUUUAAUAACUG
rnacentral:rRNA from 1 species